GUUAUUUUGGCAGAAUAAGUGCAUUGGAUUUAGAAUCUAGUUAUAUAAUUUAAAUUAUAAAUAAUACUUGUUAUU
rnacentral:tRNA from 1 species